rnacentral:rRNA from 1 species
GACGAACGCUGGUGGCGUGCUUAACACAUGCAAGUCGAACGCUGAAGCUUGGUGCUUGCACUGGGUGGAUGAGUGGCGAACGGGUGAGUAAUACGUGAGUAACCUGCCCUUGACUCUGGGAUAAGCCUGGGAAACUGGGUCUAAUACUGGAUACGACAUGUCACCGCAUGGUGGUGUGUGGAAAGGGUUUUACUGGUUUUGGAUGGGCUCACGGCCUAUCAGCUUGUUGGUGGGGUAAUGGCUCACCAAGGCGACGACGGGUAGCCGGCCUGAGAGGGUGACCGGCCACACUGGGACUGAGACACGGCCCAGACUCCUACGGGAGGCAGCAGUGGGGAAUAUUGCACAAUGGGCGGAAGCCUGAUGCAGCGACGCCGCGUGAGGGAUGACGGCCUUCGGGUUGUAAACCUCUUUCAGCACGGAAGAAGCGAAAGUGACGGUACGUGCAGAAGAAGCGCCGGCUAACUACGUG